rnacentral:rRNA from 1 species
AUUGAACGCUGGCGGAAUGCUUUACACAUGCAAGUCGAACGGCAGCACGGAGAGCUUGCUCUCUGGUGGCGAGUGGCGAACGGGUGAGUAAUAUAUCGGAACGUGUCCAAUAAUGGGGGAUAACGAGUCGAAAGAUUCGCUAAUACCGCAUACGCCCUACGGGGGAAAGCAGGUGAUCGUAAGACCUUCCGUAAAUGGCGCGGCCGACAUCUGAUUAGCUAGUGGGAGAGUAAAAGGCUCACCAAGGCGACGAUCAGUAGCUGGUUUGAGAGAACGACCAGCCACACUGGAACGGGGACACGGUCCAGACUCCUACGGGAGGCAGCAGUGGGGAAUUUGGGGCAAUGGGGGCAACCCUGAUCCAGCAAUGCCGCGUGAGUGAAGAAGGCCAUCGGGAUGUAAAGCUCUUUUGUCAGGGAAGAAACGGCAGCUCUAACACAGUCUGCGAAUGACGGUACCUGAAGAAUAAGCACCGGCUAACUACGUGCCAGCAGCCGCCGUAA